AGAGUUUGAUCAUGGCUCAGGACGAACGCUGGCGGCGUGCUUAACACAUGCAAGUCGAACGGAAAGGCCCCUUCGGGGGUACUCGAGUGGCGAACGGGUGAGUAACACGUGGGUGAUCUGCCCUGCACUUUGGGAUAAGCCUGGGAAACUGGGUCUAAUACCGAAUAGGACCGCAUGCUUCAUGGUGUGUGGUGGAAAGCUUUUGCGGUGUGGGAUGGGCCCGCGGCCUAUCAGCUUGUUGGUGGGGUAAUGGCCUACCAAGGCGACGACGGGUAGCCGGCCUGAGAGGGUGUCCGGCCACACUGAGACUGAGAUACGGCCCAGACUCCUACGGGAGGCAGCAGUGGGGAAUAUUGCACAAUGGGCGCAAGCCUGAUGCAGCGACGCCGCGUGGGGGAUGACGGCCUUCGGGUUGUAAACCUCUUUCAGUAUCGGCGAAGCUCCAGGAUUUUUCUUGGGGUGACGGUAGGUACAGAAGAAGCACCGGCCAACUACGUGCCAGCAGCCGCGGUAAUACGUAGGGUGCGAGCGUUGUCCGGAAUUACUGGGCGUAAAGAGCUCGUAGGUGGUUUGUCACGUUGUCUGUGAAAACUCACGGCUUAACUGUGGGCGUGCGGGCGAUACGGGCAGACUGGAGUACUGUAGGGGAGACUGGAAUUCCUGGUGUAGCGGUGGAAUGCGCAGAUAUCAGGAGGAACACCGGUGGCGAAGGCGGGUCUCCGGGCAGUAACUGACGCUGAGGAGCGAAAGCGUGGGGAGCGAACAGGAUUAGAUACCCUGGUAGUCCAA
rnacentral:rRNA from 1 species